UGUCCGUCAGCCGGAUUCGAGAAUAGUCUCCAAAGUAGCUGAAAGUAUUCCAGGUUUUCGAUUUCCCAUUGAAUCUGACAACGAUAUUGAGCGCUUGGAAGAAACCGUCCGCAGCUGUACUCUUACACGUAGAAGAUACGUAUGUUGUGUUUUAAUCAGUCUUACCGUAAGCACGUGAUUCAAUUGAAAGCCAUAUUUUCAGAUCGAUUGCCUUCGGCAGAUUAAGGACUCGAGUGAAAAUGCGUCUAUCGAAAGCAUCUUCAAGAUGUUCUUUUACGACGAAAGCCUCACCGAGUACAAUUAUAAUGGAUUCAGCAACAGUUGUCGAGCCAAAAAACGGGCGAUGAAGAACUACGACAUUUUUACUAACUGCUUCUUGGAAUCCUGGAUGGAUUACGGAGUUACGAAAGAUGAGGCACAAUUACCAUUUCAAACGUCCGUUGGAAUGUAAAGCCGAAAAAGAAAUCUGCCCUUAGUGCAGCGCAAUGCAGGUCCUCAGAAAAUGUCCGUCAGCCAGUUCCGGUAGCAGUUUCCAAAGUAGCGG